GGACCUCAGCUCAGGCGUGACUACCCGCUGAAUUUAAGCAUAUCAAUAAGCGGAGGAAAAGAAACCAACAGGGAUUCCCCCAGUAACGGCGAGCGAAGCGGGAAUUGCUCGAGCCUUAAAUCUCCGGCGCACAGCCGGCGAAUUGUAGCC
rnacentral:rRNA from 1 species